UUUCUUUUGCUUCGUAUUCUCUCAAUAUGAUAUAUUCUUGAUGAAGUGUUAACAAAUGCAAGUUCAUAUAUAUACUUUCUGCAACAAUGUCAAGUCUUUCUUGUUCUAAUUCAUCCAAUUGUUUAUCAAAUUCUUUGUUUCCAAGUCAUACAAGUUAUCCCUGAAGGCAUUUUAAUAUAACCAAUUGGCUGAAGAGUAGGUGAUGCAGAACUCAUAAAUUGGUUGAAUUUCAAGGAAUGGAUCUUCUGGUUCUGGAUUUGCCAAAUCUAUAGUUUCAUAAAACCAAACGCGUAUAAAACCAUCCAUUCCUACAAAUAUAAGUGACAAGUAUAAUUGAAUUAUACUAAAAUAAUACAAUUGAUUAUUAUAUGAUGGAAUUUUUAUCUACCAACAGUAAAGAGCUCUGCAUUGAUAUAUUCAAAUUGUACAAUAGGUACAUCUAAAAAGUGGAUUAUAUUACCAGAAGCAAAAAUAAUUGUAUUUGGAUCGGCUACACAAAAAUUAAAAUACUUCUGGCAAUCAUAUGAAAAAGAAUAACUAUUGAGUAGUGUUAAGGAAUUAGGAAAAUAAAUACAGAAUAAAUCAAAGUCACAGUUUGAAGUCUCAUGGAAGGAUACUCAAAUUCUAAAAUAUUUAUAGAUUCUAUAUUUUGGAAAUGCUAUCAUUAAUUUUAAAUAUUGAAAAUUUGCGGUCAAGUUUGGAACCAAUCGCGCCCACGCGGGUCCUACCUAACCUAUUCGAAUGAAAGAAGGAUCAAAUUCAAAGGCCAAUUCGAAUUCAUGUUAUAGAAGAAAUAAUAAAACGGAUCAUUAUUAAGAGGAAGAGUUGGAUUAUUGAGAUCAAG